rnacentral:misc_RNA from 1 species
GAUGAAGAACGUAGCGAAAUGCGAUAAGUAGUGUGAAUUGCAGAAUUCAGUGAAUCAUCGAAUCUUUGAACGCACAUUGCGCCCCUUGGUACUCCAUGGGGCAUGCCUGUUCGAGCGUCAUUUACACCCUCAAGCUCUGCUUGGUGUUGGGCGUCUGUCCCGCUCCGUGCGCGGACUCGCCUUAAAUGUAUUGGCAGCGGUAUCGCCGGCUUCUCGCGCAGCACAGUGCGCUUCUUGAGGCUCCCGGCGGAUCGGCGUCCAUCAAGUACACCCACAGUUUGACCUCGGAUCAGGUAGGGAUACCCGCUGAACUUAAGCAUAUCAAUAAGCGGAGGAA